UAAAAGAGAUGUUAACAAGACAUUAAAUUUUUAUUAAAAAACAUCUUAUGUUACAGGAGUGAGCUAUGGUUAAAAGCUACUAAAAGACAAGAUUUGUUAGAGGAGGAUUUAACUAGAUACAGAAUUUGCGAAAAGCAUUUUGAAAAUAAAUUUUUAUGCACAUCUUCACGACGAAAACUCUUGUAUGACAAUGCUUUGCCGUGAAUUUUUUCCGAAUCUAAAGAUAUCUGCGCGAAUACGUCUGAGGAGUCGCAGAAAAAAGUUCAAAUAUUGUCAGAUAAUAGAAUAACGCCUGCGGCGGAAAAUUUACAGGUAAUAUCCUCUAAACAAGUUUCUAUCAGCCCCA
rnacentral:lncRNA from 1 species